GGAGGUUGAGAUAGAGUUUUAAAAAGAAGUGUCAAGUUUGCGAUAAUGAAACCUUCAAUGUUUUGUGUUUUUGGUGGUAUUUGACAGUUGUUUGUGAUAAUGAAACCUUCAAUAUUUUGUGUUUUGGGUGUUAUUUAGCAGAUGUGAACUGUUAUUAUUUAAAUUUUAAUUAUUAACCACCUAUUUUGACUUUAUAUUUUAUUUUGGGUGUUUUGAAUAAAUUUUUGUGUUGACUAUAUAAUUGUUUUAUUUUAUUUUAUUUGUGGUUUUUAUGAUUUAUACUAAUGAUGCUAAUU
rnacentral:lncRNA from 1 species